AUGCUCACUUUGGUAGCAUAUAUACUAAAAUAGGAACAAUUCAGAAAAGAUUAGCAUGGCCCCUGUGUAAGAAUGACAUGCAAAUUUGUGAAGCAUUCCAUAUUUAU
rnacentral:snRNA from 1 species